rnacentral:tRNA from 1 species
GUUAAAGUGGCUGAGGUUAAGGCGGUAAAUUGUAAAUUUAUUUACGAGAAAAAUUCUCUUUUAACA